rnacentral:rRNA from 1 species
GACGAACGCUGGCGGCGUGCUUAACACAUGCAAGUCGAACGGAAAGGCCCUGCUUUUGUGGGGUGCUCGAGUGGCGAACGGGUGAGUAACACGUGAGUAACCUGCCCUUGACUUUGGGAUAACUUCAGGAAACUGGGGCUAAUACCGGAUAGGAGCUCCUGCUGCAUGGUGGGGGUUGGAAAGUUUCGGCGGUUGGGGAUGGACUCGCGGCUUAUCAGCUUGUUGGUGGGGUAGUGGCUUACCAAGGCUUUGACGGGUAGCCGGCCUGAGAGGGUGACCGGCCACAUUGGGACUGAGAUACGGCCCAGACUCCUACGGGAGGCAGCAGUGGGGAAUAUUGCACAAUGGGCGGAAGCCUGAUGCGGCAACGCCGCGUGCAGGAUGACGGCCUUCGGGUUGUAAACCGCUUUCGCCUGUGACGAAGCGUGAGUGACGGUAAUGGGUAAAGAAGCACCGGCUAACUACGUG